AACUUUCAACAACGGAUCUCUUGGUUCUCGCAUCGAUGAAGAGCGCAGCGAAAUGCGAUAAUUAAUGUGAAUUGCAGAUUUUCGUGAAUCAUCGAGUUCUUGAACGCACAUUGCGCCCUCUGGGAUUCCGGAGGGCAUGUCUGUUUGAGCGUCAUUU
rnacentral:rRNA from 1 species